UUGCUUUAGCAGCACAUAUACCAAAAUUGGAACAAGACAGAGAUUAAUAUGGCCCCUGUGCAAAGACUAAUAGGCAAACUGGUGAAGCGUUCCAUAUUAAA
ensembl:snRNA U6 U6 spliceosomal RNA